rnacentral:rRNA from 1 species
AUUCCAGCUCCAAUAGCGUAUACUAAAGUUGUUGCAGUUAAAAAGCUCGUAGUUGAAUUUCUGGUCGUGGCGACCGGUCCGCCCCUCACGGGGUGUGCACCUGGUCUCUGCGUCCAUCCUCGGGGAGAGCGCGUCUGGCAUUCAGUUGUCGGGCGCGGGAUCCUCGUCAUUUACUGUGAGCAAAAUAGAGUGUUCAAAGCAGGCUUAGGCCGUUGAAUACAUUAGCAUGGAAUAAUAAGAUAGGACCUUGGUCUAUUUUGUUGGUUUGCAUUCCAAGGUAAUGAUUAAUAGGGAUAGUUGGGGGCAUUAGUACUUUGCUGUCAGAGGUGAAAUUCUCGGAUUUGCAAAAGACUAUCUUAUGCGAAAGCAUUUGCCAAGGAUGUUUUCAUCA